rnacentral:rRNA from 1 species
UGAGGAAUCUUGGACAAUGGGCGCAAGCCUGAUCCAGCCAUGCCGCGUGAGUGAUGAAGGCCUUAGGGUUGUAAAGCUCUUUUGCCGGGGAUGAUAAUGACCGUACCCGGAGAAUAAGCCACGGCUAAAUUCGUG